UGCAUACGGAAAUAGACAUUUUGAAUCGAUAUCUAAGUUUUAUCAAGAGCACGU
rnacentral:sRNA from 1 species